rnacentral:rRNA from 1 species
AUUGAACGCUGGCGGCAUGCCUUACACAUGCAAGUCGAACGGUAACGGGCCUUCGGGUGCCGACGAGUGGCGAACGGGUGAGUAAUGCAUCGGAACGUACCUUUCAGUGGGGGAUAACGUAGCGAAAGUUACGCUAAUACCGCAUAUUCUGUGAGCAGGAAAGCAGGGGAUCGCAAGACCUUGCGCUGAUUGAGCGGCCGAUGUCAGAUUAGCUAGUUGGUGAGGUAAAGGCUCACCAAGGCGACGAUCUGUAGCGGGCCUGAGAGGAUGAUCCGCCAACCGGGAACUGAGACGCGGUCCAGACUCCUACGGGAGGCAGCAGUGGGGAAUUUUGGACAAUGGGGGCAACACUGAUCCAGCCAUGCCGCGUGAGUGAAGAAGGCCUUCGGGUUGUAAAGCUCUUUCGGCCGGGAAGAAAUCGUAUGGGCUAAUACCCUGUGCGGAUGACGGUACCGGCAUAAGAAGCACCGGCUAACUACGUGCCAGCAGCCGCAGUAAUAC